rnacentral:rRNA from 1 species
AUUGAACGCUGGCGGAAUGCUUUACACAUGCAAGUCGAACGGUAGAGGGGGCAACCCCUUGAGAGUGGCGAACGGGUGAGUAAUAUAUCGGAACGUGCCCAGUCGUGGGGAUAACGUAGCGAAAGUUACGCUAAUACCGCAUACGAUCUAAGGAUGAAAGCGGGGGAUCGCAAGACCUCGCGCGAUUGGAGCGGCCGAUAUCAGAUUAGGUAGUUGGUGAGGUAAAGGCUCACCAAGCCAACGAUCUGUAGCUGGUCUGAGAGGACGACCAGCCACACUGGAACUGAGACACGGUCCAGACUCCUACGGGAGGCAGCAGUGGGGAAUUUUGGACAAUGGACGCAAGUCUGAUCCAGCCAUUCCGCGUGCAGGAUGAAGGCCCUCGGGUUGUAAACUGCUUUUGUACGGAACGAAAAGGUUUCUAUUAAUACUAGGAGCUCAUGACGGUACCGUAAGAAUAAGCACCGGCUAACUACGUGCCAGCAGCCGC